rnacentral:lncRNA from 1 species
UUUUAACCAUGUGUAUCAGAUAAUAGUAGACAAAAAUAUCCUUAUGAAUUCUUAGUUUUAAAAUUAAGGAUAUUUAAAUAAUUUUCAUUCCCAAAUAAAAAAAAUAAGAAACUUCCAAACUCUUACUCACCUGUCUCAUUUUUUUCAAUCUUUUCCCUUUAAUCUCUCUCAAUUAACAAAAAAUCAAAAACAUAUUAAGCAAUUUCUUACAAAAAAAAAAAAAUUUAAUAAAUGUACCAACU